GCCAACCGGGAUUGGUACCCGGGUGGUCCCGCCCUAAAAAAUUUGAAUAGUCGUUCGGAGCCACCAAUCCUUGAGUGACGCCAGUAACCGGGGAAGUGGCCGCCUGGGGAGUACGGCCCCAAGGUUAAAACUCAAAGGAAUGGAGGGGCCCGCCCCAAGCGGUGGAGAUGGGGGAUUAAUUCGAUGCAACGCGAAAACCCUUACCUACCCUUGACAUGUCUGGAACCUUGUGAGAGGCGAGGGGCCUUCGGGGAGCCCAGAACACAGGUGUGCAUGGCGGUCGUCAGCUGGUGUCGUGAGAUGUUGGGUUAAGUCCCGCAACGAGCGCAACCCUUGUCACUAGUGCCAUCAUUUGGUUGGGCACUCUAGUGAGACUGCCGGUGACAAACCGGAGGAAGGUGGGGAGGACGUCAAGUCCUCAUGGCCCUUAUGGGUAGGGCUUCACACGUCAUACAAUGGUCGGUACAGAGGGUUGCCAAGCCGCGAGGGGGAGCCAAUCCCUUAAAGCCGAUCGUAGUCCGGAUGGUAGUCUGCAACUCGACUACGUGAAGUCGGAAUCGCUAGUAAUCGCAGAUCAGCAUGCUGCGGGGAAUACGUUCCCGGGUCUUGUACACACCGCCCGUCACACCAUGGGAGUGGGUUUCACCAGAAGUAGGUAGCUUAACCUUGGGGAGGGCGCUUACCACGGUGAGAUUCAUGACUGGAGGGAAGUCGUAACAAGGUAGCCGUAA
rnacentral:rRNA from 1 species